GGUACCACCGCUUUCGGUUCGGUUCGUUCGGUACGAUCAGUCGCGUUUCAGUUUUGUGGUACGCCAGGUCGUACCUCGUGCACCAGCAAGUUAUUAACAAAAGUGUUUUGAAUUUGGUAGUUUUUACAAAAACGCAAGCGGGACAAAUUAAGAAGGAUAAAACGAGCGAGACGCUGAUCAACAAAUAAAUAAAAUAUUAUACAAACAAACGCAAUCUCUACAUUGUCAGUCAAAAGCAUCAAUAGAAAGAAAGCAAGUAUAGUGGCCACAGAACAACCGAAAUUAGGUAA